UACGUAGGGUGCGAGCGUUAAUCGGAAUUACUGGGCGUAAAGCGUGCGCAGGCGGUUCGUUGUGUCGGCGGUGAAAGCCCCGGGCUCAACCUGGGAAUGGCCGUUGAAACUGGCGAACUGGAGUGUGGCAGAGGGGGGUGGAAUUCCGCGUGUAGCAGUGAAAUGCGUAGAUAUCGGGAAGAACACCCGUGGCGAAGGCGGCUCUCUGGGACGGUACUGACGCUGAGACGCGAAAGCGUGGGGAGCGAACAGG
rnacentral:rRNA from 1 species